AUGGUUGAAGGUUCUACUCAGGACGUGGCUAACCUGAAGUUCCUCCUCCCGUGCUUCCAGCAGAUGUCGGGCCUAACGUUCAACUUCGAUAAGAGCGAAGUGAUGGUUCUUGGUUACCCUCCGGUGGAAGCUCAGGCUAUCGCUGACCGACUUAACUGUCGGCUGGGUUCUUUCCCCACGACCUACCUGGGGAUCCCCAUUAGUGAUUCGCGCCUCACCGUGGCGGACCUCCGCCCCACGGUGACCCGUAUGCAACAUCGCGUCGAGCCUUGGAAAGGGCGUUGGCUAUCGAAGGCUACGCGUGUGAUUCUCAUCAACUCCUCUCUCGCCAGCCUUCUUUGGUACCUCAUGAGAUUGUAUAGCCUCCAUGAAACGCUGCACACGGAAAUUGCCAAGUACCAAUCCAGGUUCUACUGGGCUGGCGAGGAUGACAGACAGAAGUACCAUAUGGCCAGUUGGCCGGACAUAUGUAAACUCAAGGACCAGGGGGUCUGGGGAUUUUGUCCUCCCGACGCAUGA
rnacentral:rRNA from 1 species